AACGUAGGACGCGAGCGUUAUCCGGAGUUACUGGGCGUAAAGGGUGGGCAGGCGGCCGUGUCAGAUGGGUGUGAAAUCUCCCGGCUCAACCGGGAGGGGCCACUCGUGACUGCACGGCUGGAGGGCAGCAGAGGCGCGUGGAAUUCCGGGUGGAGUGGUGAAAUGCGUAGAGAUCCGGAGGAACACCAGAGGCGAAGGCGGCGCGCUGGGCUGUACCUGACGCUGAACCACGAAAGCCAGGGCAGCGAACGGG
rnacentral:rRNA from 1 species